AUGAAAAUAUGGAUGGAUCGGGCCAGUUGCGUUCAUGCACUUGGGGCUUUCCGUGCGGCGCCGCCCCACCAGCUGCUGAGCGCCCAACCAACCGAGACGGCAGCUGAAAUCAGUUACACAUCGAUCCCUACACGCCAGCCAGCUGCAGAAAGGGGCAUUUCUCGUAUGAUCCCUCCCAGGUUCCCUGUGAUUUUAUCUCGAUCGACACAGACACAGAAGAAAAAAGAAGGUGAAAUCACCUGGCAAAAAGAAAAAGAAAAGAACCUGAAAUCGCCUGCGCCACAUCAUCUUCGUGAUCACUGUCGCAGGUGCCUUGCCUGA
rnacentral:rRNA from 1 species